GCGGGUUUAGCUCAGUUGUUUAGAGCGCAUCCUUGCCAAGGACGAGGUCGAGAGUGAGAAUUGCCGGUGGCAAUUCGCAAGGAAAUCUUCUCUUACAAACUAGCCUGUAAAGAUGAAGUUUCGGGCCCGCGGAACGUGGGAGAGUCUCUUCAACCCGCACCA
rnacentral:tRNA from 1 species